rnacentral:rRNA from 1 species
AUUGAACGCUGGCGGCAUGCCUUACACAUGCAAGUCGAACGGCAGCGCGGGGCAACCUGGCGGCGAGUGGCGAACGGGUGAGUAAUAUAUCGGAACGUGCCCAGUCGUGGGGGAUAACGUAGCGAAAGCUACGCUAAUACCGCAUACGAUCUAUGGAUGAAAGCGGGGGAUCGCAAGACCUCGCGCGAUUGGAGCGGCCGAUAUCAGAUUAGGUAGUUGGUGAGGUAAAGGCUCACCAAGCCGACGAUCUGUAGCUGGUCUGAGAGGACGACCAGCCACACUGGGACUGAGACACGGCCCAGACUCCUACGGGAGGCAGCAGUGGGGAAUUUUGGACAAUGGGCGCAAGCCUGAUCCAGCAAUGCCGCGUGCAGGAUGAAGGCCUUCGGGUUGUAAACUGCUUUGUACGGAACGAAACGGUGAGCUCUAAUACAGUUUGCUAAUGACGGUACCGUAAGAAUAAGCACCGGCUAACUACGUG